UACGGGGGGGGCAAGCGUUGUUCGGAAUUACUGGGCGUAAAGCGCGCGUAGGCGGCCUUUCAAGUCAGACGUGAAAUCUCCGGGCUUAACCCGGAAAGGUCAGCCGAUACUGCGGGGCUAGAGUGCAGAAGGGGCAACUGGAAUUCUCGGUGUAGCGGUGAAAUGCGUAGAUAUCGAGAGGAACACCUGCGGCGAAGGCGGGUUGCUGGGCCGACACUGACGCUGAUGCGCGAAAGCCAGGGGAGCAAACAGG
rnacentral:rRNA from 1 species